AUGGAACAAUGUAGGCAAGGGGAGUCGGCAAAACGGAUCCGUAACUUUGGGAAAAGGAUUGGCUCUGAGGACUGGGCUCGGGGGUCCCCGAACCCGUCGGCUAUCGGCGGAUUGCUCGGGCUGCUCAGCGGCGAGAGCGGGUCGCCGCGUGCUGGCCAGGGGAAGGACCGGGAAUCGCCCCUUCGGGGGCUUUCCCCGAGCAUGAAACAGUUGACUCAGAACUGUGCUCUGAAUGUCAAAGUGAAGAAAUUCAACCAAGCGCGGGUAAACGGCGGGAGUAACUAUGACUCUCUUAAGGGGCGCUCGCGCCCCCAAGGGCCCGUGCCAUUGGCUAAGCUGGUCCAGCCGACGUGCCGCGGCCGGCCACCUCGAAGCUCCCUUCCCAACGGGCGGUGGGCUGAAUCCUUUGCAGAUGACUUAAAUACGCGACGGGGCAUUGCUACACGGACCCAUAACGGGUGGUAUGAGACAAGGGAAAAAAGUUCCCGACGCCCGUCGUGGACGGAGCUGGACACGCGCCGUGGAAAACAUGGCAAAAGCAUAUACGAUUCCACGAUCCGUACAUGGACCCAAACACGUACCCAGAACGGGCGGUACGGGGACACGGGAAAAAAAGUUCCCGACGCCCAUCGUGGACGGAGCUGCACGCGUGCCAUGGAAAACAGGGCAAAAGCACAGACGAUUCCAUGA
rnacentral:rRNA from 1 species